rnacentral:rRNA from 1 species
ACUUUAGCUAAUACCGCAUAAAAUCUAAUAACACAUGUUAUAAGAUUGAAAGUGCCAACUGGUACACUAUAGGAUGGACCCGCGUUGUAUUAGCUAGUUGGUGAGGUAAAGGCUCACCAAGGCGAUGAAACAUAGCCGACCUGAGAGUGUGAUCGGCCACACUGGGACUGAGACACGGCCCAGACUCCUACGGGAGGCAGCAGUAGGGAAUCUUCGGCAAUGGACGAAAGUCUGACCGAGCAACGCCGCGUGAGUGAAGAAGGUUUUCGGAUCGUAAAACUCUGUUGUAAGAUAAUAUCACCAGUAAGAGUGGAAAGCUUACUGGCUGACGGUAUCUUACCAGAAAGCCACGGCUAACUACGUGCCAGCAGCCGCGGUAAUACGUAGGUGGCAAGCGUUGUCCGGAUUUAUUGGGCGUAAAGCGAGCGCAUGCGGUUCAUUAAGUCUGAUGUAAAAGGCAGUGGCUCAACCAUUGUAAGCAUUGGAAACUGGUGAACUUGAGUGCAAUAAAGGAGAGUGGAAUUUCCAUGUGU